rnacentral:rRNA from 1 species
UACGGAGGGUGCAAGCGUUAUCCGGAUUCACUGGGUUUAAAGGGUGCGUAGGUGGGCUGGUAAGUCAGUGGUGAAAUCUCCAGGCUUAACUUGGAAACUGCCAUUGAUACUAUCAGUCUUGAAUACCGUGGAGGUCAGCGGAAUAUGUCAUGUAGCGGUGAAAUGCUUAGAUAUGACAUAGAACACCAAUUGCGAAGGCAGCUGGCUACACGAGUAUUGACACUGAGGCACGAAAGCGUGGGGAUCAAACAGG